UACUCCCCCAGCUUUCAGCCGUAUGGCCAGACCCUUUUCUGUUCUCACAAAGAGACCUAUGACAUCACUUGCCCCUCAAACAGUCCCUUCCCCUCCCAGACUGCUCCCCAUCUGAAAAAGAGGGUGACUGACUAGAUUGGGGAUAGAAAAGGUUCUACUGGACAUGCUACUUCUGGUUGAUUGGUAUUACCUGCCUGUGUUGCAAAGGCUGCCAAAGCUGUGUUCAGGCACAAUGGGAGUGCUGUGAUUGAUUGAUGCAGACUACAGUAUAAGGAGUAACUGCCAAGAACAAGACCCAACACCACCAGAGCUUUUUGAGAAAUGUUUUAAAUCCAGUAAAAUGGAAAAGCAACCUUCUUUUCAGUCCACACUCCUUCAAAAGACUGACCAACAAGGAACCUUAAAUGGCUGCAACCUGUAGAGCGAGGGUGGCUAGGAGUCAGCCCACUUUUGUCAGGGAGCUAUAAGGAUGGUAUGGACCAUCAGACAAUCAAUCAACAGUUUCCUGAUUUCCUACUGUGUACUCAGCAGGUGCUCUCAGGGAGUGGACACCAGCUCUGUGCUUACAGACUUAGCAACUGUGCAGAGGAGAGCGGAGGUACAUAAAAGUCCUAUUUGUUGAGGCAGCAAAGUUGACACCAUAGCUGCUCUGGCAAGUCUGAGAAUUUCCUUUGAAAAGGCACAGCAAACAGCAACUCGAGACUCCAGUGAGCCAGAUAACAACUAAUCUCGGAAAUACACAGGCAGACUGAACCAGGUGUGGUGAUAUUCUUUCACCAGCUUCCAGGAACCAAAAUCAAUUCCACUGAAGGGUAGAGAGCUAAAAGGAACUCCCUCCUGCUGAGAAACAAAAGAGGAGUCCGAGGGCCUGAGCAGUUUUACCAGAGGCCACCCAUCUAUAAACUCAGUGCAAGAAGAAGGGGAGAAGCCAGAGUUCCAGCUCCCCCAUCCCUUGUCCUCUUCAAGUACCCGAGACUGGGAUCAUUGUAAAGGGCUUCCAGGCCUUAUGGGUCCUGGGAAGAAACUACCCCAGAAUAAGGUUUAAGCCCACUGUGGUUUAAAAUUGG